CCGGACUGGCUCCAUCAAGCCUGUUGGAACAGCAGGAACCGGCCUUUCCAGCAGGCUUGAUGGAGCCAGUCUGG
rnacentral:pre_miRNA from 1 species